GUGAAUCAUCAAAUUUUUGAACGCAAAUUGCACUCUCUUCGGAGAGUAUGCCUGUUUGAGGGUCAGUAUUAAUAAAAAUCGGUGUGUUGCUUCUUUGUGACGCUCCGGAGUUUGGGUCAUCUUAAUAUCCUUUAGGUUUUAAGAGGCUUAAAAUUGACUUUUUUUGCGCAUUUUAGAUGUACAUAAAUUUUUUUUUUUUUCGUUUAUCUUAAUGGCAAAAUUCUCUUUGUUUGCGAUC
rnacentral:misc_RNA from 1 species